UAGGGAAUAUUGGGCAAUGGACGGAAGUCUGACCCAGCCAUGCCGCGUGCAGGAAGAAGGCGCUCAGCGUUGUAAACUGCUUUUAUCGGGGAAGAACGGCAGUCCUGCGGGAUUGUGUGACGGUACUCGAGGAAUAAGCACCGGCUAACUCUGUGCCAGCAGCCGCGGUAAUACAGAGGGUGCAAGCGUUAAUCGGAAUUACUGGGCGUAAAGCGCGCGUAGGUGGUUUGUUAAGUUGAAUAUGAAAUCCCCGGGCUCAACCUGGGAACUGCAUCCAAAACUGGCAAGCUAGAGUAUGGUAGAGGGUAGUGGAAUUUCCUGUGUAGCGGUGAAAUGCGUAGAUAUGCGGAGGAACACCGAUGGCGAAGGCAAUCCCCUGGACCUGUACUGACGCUCAUGCACGAAAGCGUGGGGAGCAAACA
rnacentral:rRNA from 1 species